AAAACAAAGAGGAACGGAAAAGCUUGCAAGUCGAACGGUAACAGGAAGCAGCUUGCUGCUUUGCUGACGAGUGGCGGACGGGUGAGUAAUGUCUGGGAAACUGCCUGAUGGAGGGGGAUAACUACUGGAAACGGUGGCUAAUACCCCAUAACGUCGCAAGACCAAAGAGGGGGACCUUCGGGCCUCUUGCCAUCAGAUGUGCCCAGAUGGGAUUAGCUUGUUGGUGAGGUAACGGCUCACCAAGGCGACGAUCCCUAGCUGGUCUGAGAGGAUGACCAGCCACACUGGAACUGAGACACGGUCCAGACUCCUACGGGAGGCAGCAGUGGGGAAUAUUGCACAAUGGGCGCAAGCCUGAUGCAGCCAUGCCGCGUGUAUGAAGAAGGCCUUCGGGUUGUAAAGUACUUUCAGCGGGGAGGAAGGUGUUGUGGUUAAUAACCCACAAUUGACGUUACCCGCAGAAGAAGCACCGGCUAACUCCGUGCCAGCAGCCGCGGUAAUACGGAGGGUGCAAGCGUUAAUCGGAAUUACUUGGGCGUAAAGCGCACGCGAGGCGGUCUGUCAAGUCGGAUUGUGAAAUCCCCGGGCCUCAACCUGGGAACUGCAUUCGAAACUGGCAGGCUUGAGUUUUGUAAAGGGGGGUAGAAUUUCCGGGGUGUCCCCGUAAAUGGCGAAAAGAAUCUU
rnacentral:rRNA from 1 species